rnacentral:lncRNA from 1 species
CCGAUGUCUAUCUUCUCAUGAACAACUUUUUUCAACAUCUACCAACACGCUACCAUCAUUAUCAGCAGACUUCAUCAAGGUUUACCAUUUCUUCCUCCAUUGCCUAACCUCUUCUCCCAUAUUUCCCUUCUGGCUUUCCUACCCAACUGAAGCCCUAAGGCAACCAAAUUGAAAGUCUGCCAUCAUUCCAACCACAUAAAAUCUUCUUGUUCCGGGAUCAGUAGAUGUAACCUUUUGUUGGAUGUUUUGAUUGGACAAUGGACAUAAAAGGUGUGCUUAGAAGGUUAUUGAUUGAGAACUUGCGAUUAUAGAAAUGGAAGUUUAUGGCAAUGUGAAAAUCAGAAGCCAUUGUCCACUUCCAAAAAG